rnacentral:rRNA from 1 species
UACGAGAGGCCCAAACGUUAUUCGGAAUUAUUGGGCGUAAAGAGCUCGUAGGCGGUCUGUCGCGUCUGGUGUGAAAUCCCAUGGCUCAACUGUGGGCUUGCAUCGGGUACGGGCAGACUAGAGUGCUGUAGGGGAGACUGGAAUUCCUGGUGUAGCGGUGGAAUGCGCAGAUAUCAGGAGGAACACCGAUGGCGAAGGCAGGUCACUGGGCCGCAACUGACGCUGAGGAGCGAAAGCAUGGGGAGCGAACAGG